rnacentral:rRNA from 1 species
CGUAGGAGGCAAGCGUUAUCCGGAGUAACUGGGCGUAAAGGGCGGGUAGGUGGUUGGAUAAGUUGGUUAUGAAAGCUCCUGGCUAAACUGGGAGAGGUUGACCAAGACUGUCCGACUUGAGUGGAGAGGAGGUAAACGGAAUUCCGCGUGUAGUGGUGAAAUGCGUAGAGAUGCGGAAGAACACCAGUGGCGAAGGCGGUUUACUGGUCUCCAACUGACACUGAGCCGCGAAAGCAUGGGUAGCGAACGGGAUUAGAAACCCCGGUAGUCCAUGCCGUAAACGAUGCACACUAAACGUUCGACAUCCGCGAGGGUGUUGAGUGUUGAAGCCAACGCGAUGAGUGUGCCACCUGGGGAGUACGGUCGCAAGGCUA